AAGACACGCAUAAUGUGCAUGUGAUUGGUGAGUUUAAUCAGAUUGGUCCCCACGUGUCAAUUUAUUAAUAACAACAAUAAUCUCGUGGUGUGUCCCUCUAUUAUUUAUUUUUUAUGUCAACUUCACCUAUUUCUAGCUCUUAAAAACUACUAUUGUACAACUUUUCUAGAUUUUGACUCUAGUUAAUUUUUGAAUAUUCAUUUUAAAUAUCUU
rnacentral:lncRNA from 1 species